rnacentral:lncRNA from 1 species
GAGAUUUUUGAGACCUUUUCCGGAAUAACUACCCUAUUUUUAUUCCUGUAAAAUUAGUCCUUUCCUGGGAGGAAGGAGUCUCCUCCGGGAGUCUGGGGUCCUUCCGCUGCCCCGGAGAGAUGCUGCGGCCUCGGCCGGCUCAGGAUGCAGACCCAAGCAGGGCCGGGUACCAGACUGGGGUUAUGGAUUCGGGGAGAAAGACCCCACAGAGAAAGUGUCAUUCUCAUCACAUCCCAUCGAGGGUGCACGCCAUCCACAGGACUCAUCAUUGUGGAUGUUGACCUUGAUCCUCCAUCUGAGGAAGUGUUUGUCCCGUGUUAUCCAGGAAAAGCGAAUCACCAAAACGACGAGUUUGCAGCAGAGAAAGGGUUUAUUCACGAGGCAGCCCAGCGAGGAGACGGGAGAGCAAAUCUCAAAUCUGCCUCCUCGAAAAAUGGGGAUUUGGGACAUUUAUGGGCUAAAGGGGUAGGGUGGUCUGAAGUGUGGAGCUGGAUGAUUGGAGGGGAGGAGG